rnacentral:rRNA from 1 species
UACGAAGGGGGCUAGCGUUGCUCGGAAUCACUGGGCGUAAAGCGCACGUAGGCGGAUUCCUAAGUCGGGGGUGAAAUCCUGGAGCUCAACUCCAGAACUGCCUUCGAUACUGGGAAUCUUGAGUCCGGAAGAGGUGAGUGGAACUGCGAGUGUAGAGGUGAAAUUCGUAGAUAUUCGCAAGAACACCAGUGGCGAAGGCAGCUCACUGGUCCGGUACUGACGCUGAGACGCGAAAGCGUGGGGAGCGAACAGG